ensembl:snRNA U6 U6 spliceosomal RNA
UUGCUUACUACAGCAGCACAUGUACUUAAAUUGGAAUAUAGAAAAGAUUUGCAUGGCCCCUGCACAAGGAUGACACACAAAAUCACCAAUACAUUUGCUUGUCCU